GCUCUCCAGUGCCCAUACUGUGUAUCGGUAUAUGGUUCCGACUCUAGAACUGCUCAGUGUACCACACAAAACAUUAAGUAUUGUCAGUUUUUGUGAUACCCUGUGUAAUGUCAAAUGUGCUAGUGGUUUGCAACUGCUGAAAGAGUAUUAAGAGUUGGACAACAGAUUUGAACGUUUUGCAGUCUAGGUUGCUUUGAAUAUACAAAUCAGGUGAGCAGGGUAUUGAGUGUAGCAGGCUGGAAUGAUGUUUUGAUAAAUUGGCAUGAACUGUGAAGUUUACCAUUGCUUACAUCCAGUGAAACUAAAUUCUGAAAUGGAUUUGGAGGUGUGUUGGAGAACGCUUGGCACAUAUUGAAUUUGUGCUGUCUCUCAGGUGUCUGUCCUUUCAGGUAUGUAAUUAAUACUCCCAGUUGUGCUUCCAGAUGUUGUUUACUGUUAAUGAUGAACAACAAACACUGCCCUAGUCAAUCUGAAGAAAUGAUGUUGAAAGAUUCUGAUAUCAUUAAAUUUUCUUUUCAUUUGAUGAUGCUAGAGGAAUUGUGCUUAUUUCAUGAUUCUUGUUUCAGGUAUACAUGUUCAUUGUUAUUGAAAAUCAACAAGAAUGUAAUUGUCAACAGAGUAAUGAUUUUUGUUUGUGACACUAGUGUGUUCCACUUGUAAAGUAUUGGUCAAUAAAGAUUUCAGUUGAAAUUUCUUGUAA